rnacentral:rRNA from 1 species
UACGUAGGGGGCUAGCGUUGUCCGGAAUCAUUGGGCGUAAAGAGCGUGUAGGCGGCCCCGGUAAGUCCGCUGUGAAAGUCGGGGGGCUCAACCCCUCGAAGGCCGGUGGAAACUGUCGGGCUAGAGUCCGGAAGAGGCGAGUGGAAUUCCCGGUGUAGCGGUGAAAUGCGCAGAUAUCAGGAAGAACACCAAUGGCGAAGGCAGCUCUCUGGGACGGUACUGACGCUGAGACGCGAAAGCGUGGGGAGCGAACAGG